UACGGAGGGUGCAAGCGUUAUCCGGAUUUACUGGGUUUAAAGGGUGCGUAGGUGGGUCUGUAAGUCAGUGGUGAAAUCUCCGAGCUUAACUCGGAAACUGCCAUUGAUACUAUAGGUCUUGAAUUUUCUGGAGGUCAGCGGAAUAUGUCAUGUAGCGGUGAAAUGCUUAGAUAUGACAUAGAACACCAAUUGCGAAGGCAGCUGGCUACAGGGAUAUUGACACUGAGGCACGAAAGCGUGGGGAUCAAACAGG
rnacentral:rRNA from 1 species